AUUCAUAUAGUUUAUUAAAAACAUUUCAUUUUCAAUGAAAAAAAGAAAGACACUUUCUACGAAUAAUU
rnacentral:tRNA from 1 species